ensembl:lncRNA
CUGAUGGCUUAGACCCUUUCUUAUCCAUUUGUGUUGAUUUGGCACUCGAGCAUCAAUACAUUACCCAUCCCCCAACACUGUCAACCAGGAGUCAAGACUGCAUUACCCAUCCCCCAACACUGUCAACCAGGAGUCAAGACUACAUUACCCAUCCCCCAACACUGUCAACCAAGAGUCAAGACUACAUUACCCAUCCCCCAACACUGUCAACCAAGAGUCAAGACUACAUUACCCAUCCCCCAACACUGUCAACCAAGAGUCAAGACUGCAUUACCCAUCCCCCAACACUGUCAACCAGGAGUCAAGACUACAUUACCCAUCCUCCAACACUGUCAACCAAGAGUCAAGACUGCAUUACCCAUCCCCCAACACUGUCAACCAGGAGUCAAGACUACAUUACCCAUCCCCCAACACUGUCAACCAAGAGUCAAGACUACAUUACCCAUCCCCCAACACUGUCAACCAAGAGUCAAGACUACAUUACCCAUCCCCCAACACUGUCAACCAAGAGUCAAG